AACGAACGCUGGCGGCAUGCCUAACACAUGCAAGUCGAACGAGACCUUCGGGUCUAGUGGCGCACGGGUGCGUAACGCGUGGGAACCUGCCCUUAGGUUCGGAAUAACUCCCCGAAAGGGGUGCUAAUACCGGAUAAUGUCUUCGGACCAAAGAUUUAUCGCCUUUGGAUGGGCCCGCGUUGGAUUAGCUAGUUGGUAGGGUAAAAGCCUACCAAGGCGACGAUCCAUAGCUGGUCUGAGAGGAUGAGCAGCCACACUGGGACUGAGACACGGCCCAGACUCCUACGGGAGGCAGCAGUGGGGAAUAUUGGACAAUGGGCGAAAGUCUGAUCCAGCAAUGCCGCGUGAGUGAUGAAGGCCUUAGGGUUGUAAAGCUCUUUUACCCGGGAUGAUAAUGACAGUACCGGGAGAAUAAGCUCCGGCUAACUCCGUG
rnacentral:rRNA from 1 species